ensembl:lncRNA
GGUGUGUUAAAAUGACUAAUUUAAACAAGGGUUUAAGAGGUGUUGAAAGUUUUGAUUUCAGACUUCAACAUCCAUUUUUAUGUGUAAUAAGUGGGCCAUCUAAUUCUGGAAAAACAUAUUUUGUAAAAAUAUUGAUUGUAAAUGCUGAUAAUGUGUUUAGUAAUAAGAUUGAGAAUAUUCUAUAUAUAUAUACGCUUGUUGGCAACCUCUUUAUGAUGAACUGUUGAAGAUAAGAGACAUUACAUUUAUUGAAGGGAUCCCUAACGCUUUAGAUGACGACGUUCUAUUACCUGUAACCAAAAACAAUUUAUUAAUUAUUGAUGAUGUGAUGAAGGAUGCAAGUAGCAAUGCAGAAGUUGAAAAAGUAUUCACACAAUAUGUUCAUCACCGUAACCUUAGUGCCAUUUACCUGGUUCAGAACCUAUUUUUUCAGGGUAAAGCCAGUAGAACAAUUAGCCUAAACACCUUACAGGCCAAAAUAGAAAAAAUAGUACUUUUUUAUUUUUAACUGAUUUUGUUUAUCAAUAUACAUGCAUGAAUACAUUUUUUUUUUUUUUUUUACUGAUUUUGUUUAUCAAUAUACAUGCAUAAAUACUUUUUUUUUUUUUUUUUUACUGAUUUUGUUUAUCAAUAUACAUGCAUAAAUACUUUUUUUUUAACUGAUUUAAGUGUUACAGGCCAAAAGAGAAAAAGAUUGUAUGAGCAUAUUGGUAACCUCGACCGGUUAAGCAAGAAAGGCAGGAAAGCCAUUGGCUAGCCUUGUUAGGUGCUGACUAAAACUGUAGAUGAGCCAUUAAGUGUUUGAAGUGUUACAGGCCAAAAUAGAAAAAAAAGUACUUUUUUUUAACUGAUUUUGUUUAUCAUUAUACAUGCAUGAAUACUUUUUUUUUUUUAACUGAUUUAAGUGUUACAGGCCAAAAGAGAAAAAGAUUGUAUGAGCAUAUUGGUAACCUCGACCGGUUAAGCAAGAAAGGCAGGAAAGCCAUUGGCUAGCCUUGUUAGGUACUGACUAAGAUUGUAGAUGAGCCAUUAAGUGUUUGAAGUGUUACAGGCCAAAAUAGAAAAAAAAAGUACUUUUUUUUUUUUUUUUUUUACUGAUUUUGUUUAUUAAUACACAUGCAUGAAUACUUUUUUUUUUUUUUUUUUUAAACUGAUUUUUUUUAUCAAUAUACAUGCAUUAAUACUUUUUUUUUAACUGAUUUAAGUGUUACAGGCCAAAAGAGAAAAAAAGUGUAUGAGCAUAUUGGUAACCUCGACCGGUUAAGCAAAAAAGGCAGGAAAGUCAUUGGCUAGCCUUGUUAGGUACUGACUAAGACUGUAGAUGAGCCAUUAAGUGUUUGAAGUGUUACAGGCCAAAAUAGAAAAAAAUAGUACUUUUUUUUUUUUUAACUGAUUUUGUUUAUCAAUAUACAUGCAUAAAUACUUUUUUUUUUUUUACUGAUUUUGUUCAUCAAUAUAGAUGCAUGAAUACUUUUUUUUUUUUUUUUAACUGAUUUAAGUGGUACAGGCCAAAAGAGAAAAAAAUUGUGCUUUUUAUUUUUUAACUGAUUUAAGUGUUUCAGGCCAAAAGAGAAAAAGAUCGUAUGAGCCAAUGUAACCUCGACCGGUUAAGCAAAAAAGGCAGGAAAGUCAUUGGCUAGCCUUGUUAGGUACUGACUAAGACUGUAGAUAAGCCAUUAAGUGUUUGAAGUGUUACAGGCCAAAAUAGAAAAAAAUAGUACUUUUUUUUUUUUUAACUGAUUUUGUUUAUCAAUAUACAUGCAUAAAUACUUUUUUUUUUUUACUGAUUUUUUUAUCAAUAUAGAUGCAUGAAUACUUUUUUUUUUUUUUUUUAACUGAUUUAAGUGGUACAGGCCAAAAGAGAAAAAAAUAGUGCUUUUUUUUUUUUAACUGAUUUAAGUGUUACAGGCCAAAAGAGAAAAAGAUCGUAUGAGCCAAUGUAACCUCGACCGGUUAAGCAAAAAAGGCAGGAAAGUCAUUGGCUAGCCUUGUUAGGUACUGACUAAGACUGUAGAUGAGCCAUUAAGUGUUUGAAGUGUUACAGGCCAAAAUAGAAAAAAAAGUACUUUUUUUUUUUUUUACUGAUUUUGUUUAUCAUUAUACAUGCAUAAAUACUUUUUUUUUUAACUGAUUUAAGUGUUACAGGCCAAAAGAGAAAAAGAUCGUAUGAGCCAAUGUAACCUCGACCGGUUAAGCAAAAAAGGCAGGAAAGUCAUUGGCUAGCCUUGUUAGGUGCUGACUAAGACUGUAGAUAAGCCAUUAAGUGUUUGAAGUGUUACAGGCCAAAAUAGAAAAAAAUAGUACUUUUUUUUUUUUUUAACUGAUUUUGUUUAUCAAUAUACAUAUAUAAAUACUUUUUUUUUUUUUUUUUUACUGACUUUGUUUAUCAAUAUACAUGCAUACAUACUUUUUUUUUUUUUUUUUUUUACUGAUUUUGUUUAUCAAUAUACAUAAAUACUUUUUUUUUUUUUUUAACUGAUUUAAGUGUUACAGGCCAAAAGAGAAAAAGAUUGUAUGAGUAUAUUGGUAACCUCGACCGGUUAAGCAAAAAAGACAGGAAAGCCAUUGGCUAGCCUUGUUAGGUACUGACUAAGAUUGUAGAUGAGCCAUAAAGUGUUUGAAGUGUUACAGGCCAAAAUAGAAAAAAAAAGUACUUUUUUUUUUUUUUUUUUUACUGAUUUUGUUUAUUAAUACACAUGCAUGAAUACUUUUUUUUUUUUUUUUUCCGACUGAUUUUCUUUAUCAAUAUACAUGCAUUAAUACUUUUUUUUUAACUGAUUUAAGUGUUAGAGGCCAAAAGAGAAAAAAAUUGUAUGAGCAUAUUGGUAACCUCGACCGGUUAAGCAAAAAAGGCAGGAAAGUCAUUGGCUAGCCUUAUUAGGUGCUGACUAAGACUGUAGAUGAGCCAUUAAGUGUUUGAAGUGUUACAGGCCAAAAUAGAAAAAAAUAGUACUUUUUUUUUUUUUACUGAUUUUGUUUAUUAAUUCACAUGCAUGAAUACUUUUUUUUUUUUUUUUACUGAUUUAAGUGUUACAGACCAAAAUAGAAAAAAUUUGUAUGAGCAUAUUGGUAACCUCGACCGGUUGAGCAAAAAAGGAAGGAAAGCCAUUGGCUAGCCUUGUUAGGUGCUGACUAAGACUGUAGAUGAGCCAUUAAGUGUUUGAAGUGUUACAGGCCAAAAUAGAAAAAAAUAGUACUUUUUUUUUUUUUUUAACUGAUUUUGUUCAUCAAUAUACAUGCAUAAAUACUUUUUUUUUUUUUACUGAUUUUGUUUAUCAAUAUACAUGCAUAAAUACUUUUUUUUUUUUUUUUUUUAACUGAUUUAAGUGUUACAGUCCAAAAGAGAAAAAGAUUGUAUGAGCAUAUUGGUAACCUCGACCGGUUAAGCAAAAAAGGCAGGAAAGCCAUUGGCUAGCCUUGUUAGGUACUGACUAAGAUUGUAGAUGAGCCAUUAAGUGUUUGAAGUGUUACAGGCCAAAAUAGAAAAAAAAAGUACUUUUUUUUUUUACUGAUUUUGUUUAUUAAUACACAUGCAUAAAUACUUUUUUUUUUUUUUUUUUAACUGAUUUUGUUUAUCAAUAUACAUGCAUUAAUACUUUUUUUUUAACUGAUUUAAGUGUUAGAGGCCAAAAGAGAAAAAAAUUGUAUGAGCAUAUUGGUAACCUCGACCGGUUAAGCAAAAAAGGCAGGAAAGUCAUUGGCUAGCCUUGUUAGGUGCUGACUAAGACUGUAGAUGAGCCAUUAAGUGUUUGAAGUGUUACAGGCCAAAAUAGAAAAAAAAGUACUUUUUUUUAACUGAUUUUGUUUAUCAUUAUACAUGCAUAAAUACUUUUUUUUUUUAACUGAUUUAAGUGUUACAGGCCAAAAGAGAAAAAGAUUGUAUGAGCCAAUGUAACCUCGACCGGUUAAGCAAAAAAGGCAGGAAAGUCAUUGGCUAGCCUUGUUAGGUACUGACUAAGACUGUAGAUGAGCCAUUAAGUGUUUGAAGUGUUACAGGCCAAAAUAGAAAAAAAUAGUACUUUUUUUUUUUUUUACUGAUUUUGUUUAUCAAUAUACAUGCAUACAUACUUUUUUUUUUUUUUUUUAACUGAUUUAAGUGGUACAGGCCAAAAGAGAAAAAAAUAGUACCUUUUUUUUUUUAACUGAUUUUGUUUAUCAAUAUACAUGCAUAAAUACUUUUUUUUUUUAACUGAUUUAAGUGUUACAGGCCAAAAGGGAAAAAGAUUGUAUGAGCCAAUGUAACCUCGACCGGUUAAGCAAAAAAGGCAGGAAAGUCAUUGGCUAGCCUUGUUAGGUACUGACUAAGACUGUAGAUGAGCCAUUAAGUGUUUGAAGUGUUACAGGCCAAAAUAGAAAAAAAUAGUACUUUUUUUUUUUUUAACUGAUUUUGUUAAUCAAUAUACAUGCAUAAAUACUUUUUUUUUUAAACUGAUUUAAGUGUUACAGGCCAAAGAGAAAAAGAUUGUAUGAGCAUAUUGGUAACCUCGACCGGUUAAGCAAAAAAGGCAGGAAAGCCAUUGGCUAGCCUUGUUAGGUGCUGACUAAGACUGUAGAUGAGCCAUUAAGUGUUUGAAGUGUUACAGAUCAAAAUAGAAAAAAAAGUACUUUUUUUUUUUUUUUUUUUCGACUGAUUUUCUUUAUCAAUAUACAUGCAUUAAUACCUUUUUUUUAACUGAUUUAAGUGUUAGAGGCCAAAAGAGAAAAAAAUUGUAUGAGCAUAUUGGUAACCUCGACCGGUUAAGCAAAAAAGGCAGGAAAGUCAUUGGCUAGCCUUGUUAGGUACUGACUAAGACUGUAGAUGAGCCAUUAAGUGUUUGAAGUGUUACAGGCCAAAAUAGAAAAAAAUAGUACUUUUUUUUUUUUUAACUGAUUUUGUUAAUCAAUAUACAUGCAUAAAUACUUUUUUUUUAACUGAUUUAAGUGUUAGAGGCCAAAAGAGAAAAAAAUUGUAUGAGCAUAUUGGUAACCUCGACCGGUUAAGCAAAAAAGGAAGGAAAGCCAUUGGCUAGCCUUGUUAGGUGCUGACUAAGACUGUAGAUGAGCCAUUAAGUGUUUGAAGUGUUACAGGCCAAAAUAGAAAAAAAUUGUACUUUUUUUUUUUUUUUAACUGAUUUUGUUUAUCAAUAUACAUGCAUAAAUACUUUUUUUUUUUUUUUUUUACUGAUUUUGUUUAUCAAUAUACAUGCAUAAAUACUUUUUUUUUUUUUUUUAACUGAUUUAAGUGUUACAGGCCAAAAGAGAAAAAGAUUGUAUGAGCGUAUUGGUAACCUCGACCGGUUAAGCAAAAAAGGAAGGAAAGCCAUUGGCUAGCCUUGUUAGGUGCUGACUAAGACUGUAGAUGAGCCAUUAAGUGUUUGAAGUGUUACAGGCCAAAAUAGAAAAAAAUAGUACUUUUUUUUUUUUUAAACUGAUUUUGUUUAUCAAUAUACAUGCAUAAAUACUUUUUUUUUUUAACUGAUUUAAGUGUUACAGGCCAAAAGAGAAAAAGAUUGUAUGAGCAUAUUGGUAACCUCGACCGGUUAAGCAAAAAAGGAAGGAAAGCCAUUGGCUAGCCUUGUUAGGUGCUGACUAAGACUGUAGAUGAGCCAUUAAGUGUUUGAAGUGUUACAGGCCAAAAUAGAAAAAAUAUUACUUUUUUUUUUUUUUAACUGAUUUUGUUUAUCAAUAUACAUGCAUAAAUACUUUUUUUUUUUUUUUUUUAUGAUUU